rnacentral:rRNA from 1 species
GAAUCCCGUCUUUGACACGGACUACCGAGGCUUUGUGGUGCGCUCUCAAAGAGUCGAGUUGUUUGGGAAUGCAGCUCAAAAUGGGUGGUAAAUUCCAUCUAAAGCUAAAUAUUGGCGAGAGACCGAUAGCGAACAAGUACCGUGAGGGAAAGAUGAAAAGAACUUUGGAAAGAGAGUUAAACAGUACGUGAAAUUGCUGAAAGGGAAACGCUUGAAGUCAGUCGCGUUGGCCGGAAAUCAGCCUUGCUUUUGUGGGGUGUACUUUCUGGUUGACGGGCCAGCAUCAGUUUUGACCGGUGGAAAAAGUCUAGAGGAAUGUGGCAUCUUCGGAUGUGUUAUAGCCUCUGGUCGUAUACAUCGAUUGGGACUGAGGAACUCAGCACUUGUGCUUAGGAUGCUGGCAUAAUGGCUUUAAUCGACCCGUCUUGAAACACGGACCAAGGAGUCUAACAUGCCUGCGAGUGUUUGGGUGGAAAACCCGGACGCGUAAUGAAAGUGAAAGUUGAGAUCCCUGUCAUGGGGAGCAUCGACGCCCGGACCAGAAGUUUUCUGACGGCCCUGCGGUAGAGCAUGUAUGUUGGGACCCGAAAGAUGGUGAACUAUGCCUGAAUAGGGUGAAGCCAGAGGAAACUCUGGUGGAGGCUCGUAGCGAUUCUGACGUGCAAAUCGAUCGUCAAAUUUGGGUAUAGGGGCGAAAGACUAAUCGAACCAUCUAGUAGCUGGUUCCUGCC